rnacentral:rRNA from 1 species
UGGGGGAUAUUGCACAAUGGGGGAAAGCCCUGAUGCAGCGACGCCGCGUGUGGGAAGACGGUCCUCUGGAUUGUAAACCACUGUCCCCAGGGACGAAGAUGACGGUACCUGGGGAGGAAGCUCCGGCUAACUACGUGCCAGCAGCCGCGGUAAUACGUAGGGAGCGAGCGUUGUCCGGAAUUACUGGGUGUAAAGGGAGCGUAGGCGGGGUUGCAAGUUGGGUGUCAAAUCUACCGGCUCAACUGGUAGUCGCACUCAAAAUCUGCAGCUCUUGAGUGGAGUAGAGGCGGGCGGAAUUCCUAGUGUAGCGGUGAAAUGCGUAGAUAUUAGGAGGAACACCAGUGGCGAAGGCGGCCUGCUGGGCUUUUACUGACGCUGAGGCUCGAAAGUGUGGGGAGCAAACAGGAUUAGAUACCC